GUGGGGAAUAUUGGACAAUGGGCGCAAGCCUGAUCCAGCCAUGCCGCGUGUGUGAAGAAGGCCUUCGGGUUGUAAAGCACUUUUGUCCGGGAAGAAAUCUUCCAGGUUAAUACCCUGGGAGGCUGACGGUACCGGAAGAAUAAGCACCGGCUAACUUCGUGCCAGCAGCCGCGGUAAUACGAAGGGUGCAAGCGUUACUCGGAAUUACUGGGCGUAAAGCGUGCGUAGGUGGUUCGUUAAGUCUGCCGUGAAAGCCCCGGGAUCAACCUGGGAAUGGCGGUGGAUACUGGCGGGCUAGAGUGCGGUAGAGGGUGGUGGAAUUCCCGGUGUAGCAGUGAAAUGCGUAGAGAUCGGGAGGAACAUCUGUGGCGAAGGCGGCCACCUGGACCAGCACUGACACUGAGGCACGAAAGCGUGGGGAGCAAACAGGAUUAGAAACCCCAGUAGUCC
rnacentral:rRNA from 1 species